UACGGGGGGGCAAGCGUUGUUCGGAAUUACUGGCGUAAAGGGCUCGUAGGUGGCCAACUAAGUCAGACGUGAAAUCCCUCAGCUUAACUGGGGAACUGCGUCUGAUACUGGAUGGCUUGAGUUUGGGAGAGGGAUGCGGAAUUCCAGGUGUAGCGGUGAAAUGCGUGAGAUAUCUGGAGGAACACCGGUGGCGAAGGCGGCAUCUGGACCAACACUGACACUGAGGAGCGAAAGCGUGGGAGCAAACAGGG
rnacentral:rRNA from 1 species